CGGCGUGCUUAACACAUGCAAGUCGAACGGUGAAGCCCCGCUUGCGGGGUGGAUCAGUGGCGAACGGGUGAGUAACACGUGAGCAACCUGCCCCUGACUCUGGGAUAAGCGCUGGAAACGGCGUCUAAUACUGGAUACGAGACGUGAUCGCAUGGUCAACGUUUGGAAAGAUUUUUCGGUUGGGGAUGGGCUCGCGGCCUAUCAGCUUGUUGGUGAGGUAAUGGCUCACCAAGGCGUCGACGGGUAGCCGGCCUGAGAGGGUGACCGGCCACACUGGGACUGAGACACGGCCCAGACUCCUACGGGAGGCAGCAGUGGGGAAUAUUGCACAAUGGGCGCAAGCCUGAUGCAGCAACGCCGCGUGAGGGAUGACGGCCUUCGGGUUGUAAACCUCUUUUAGCAGGGAAGAAG
rnacentral:rRNA from 1 species